AUGGAGAUACUGAAGCGUUUCGGCGACGCUACGGUCCUGCGUUUGAACCAAGGGAAAUCAACGGUGGCGGCCAUCAGAUGCGACGGUAUUGAUUUGCCGGAAGUGCUACAGUGUUUCGAAGGGCCGACUGUAGGCUUUCCUCUCACCUACCUCGGCCUGUCCGUGCACGUCUCCCACCUACGACUAGUGCACUUGCAAUUCCUAAUUAACAGGAUUCGGGCGCAGUUAGCAGGAUGGGAGGGCCGCCUUCUUACUCUUGCUGGUAGGAGGGUUUUGGUUCGAUCGGUGCUGACGGCGUUGCCCACUUUCGCAGUGACUGUUCUGAAAGUGCCGAGAAAGCUUCUGAAAGAGAUCGACAAAACCAGAAGAAAAUUUCUAAGGGCACAAGAUGACGAGAUCUCGGGUGGAAAAUGCAAGGCCGACUGGAGAGUAAGGGGGCUGGGCAUCCUCGAUCUGUAG
rnacentral:rRNA from 1 species